rnacentral:ncRNA from 1 species
CAAAGGCUUGGUCCUGACUUUACUAUCAGCUCUAACUGAACUUACACAUGCAAGUCUCCGCAUUCCUGUGAGGAUGCCCUUAAUCCCUGCCGGGACGAGGAGCCGGCAUCAGGCACGCCCAAGCAGCCCAAGACGCCUUGCUAAGCCACACCCCCAAGGAAACCCAGCAGUGAUAAAUAUUAAGCCAUAAGCGAAAGCUUGACUUAGUUAAAGUUAAGAGGGCCGGUAAAACUCGUGCCAGCCACCGCGGUUAUACGAGAGGCCCUAGUUGAUAACUACCGGCGUAAAGAGUGGUUACGGAAAAAUAUUUAAUAAAGCCGAACACCCCCUCAGCCGUCAUACGCACCUGGGGGCACGAAGAUCUACUACGAAAGCAGCUUUAAUUAUACCUGAACCCACGACAGCUACGACACAAACUGGGAUUAGAUACCCCACUAUGCCUAGCCGUAAACUUUGAUGGAAACAUACAACUGACAUCCGCCAGGGGACUAUAAGCGCCAGCUUAAAACCCAAAGGACUUGGCGGUGCCUCAGACCCACCUAGAGGAGCCUGUUCUAGAACCGAUAACCCCCGUUCAACCUCACCACCUCUUGUUUUCCCCGCCUAUAUACCACCGUCGUCAGCUUACCCUGUGAAGGCCUUAUAGUAAGCAAAAUGGGCAAAACCCAAAACGUCAGUCGGAGGUGUAGCGCAUGGGGUGGGAAGAAAUGGGCUACAUUCUCUAAAUUAGAGCACUACGAACCACGCUGUGAAACCAGCGUCCAAAGGUGGAUUUAGCAGUAAAUAGAAAAUAGAGAGUUCUCUUGAAACUGGCUCUGAGGCGCGCACACACCGCCCGUCACUCUCCCCAAGUUCAAUUAACCCUUCUAACUAAGAAAUUAACCGAACAAANNAAGGGGAGGCAAGUCGUAACAUGGUAAGUGUACCGGAAGGUGCACUUGGAAUAAC